rnacentral:lncRNA from 1 species
CCACAGGGACCCCACUCGUCCCCACACGCCGCCAUAUCCCCACAGACCCCCACAGGGGAGGGCCGGGGGCCGCGGGAAGCGCUGUCGCACCCCACCCGCGGCGGGACACGGGGCCCGGGCCCCGGCGGCGCCUUUAAGGCUGGGCCGGGCGCCAGCUGCCUCCGCCCCGGGGCAGAGCCGGGCGGGCCGGGCCCCGCCGUAGCCUGGAAACCGCCNCGGUAGACGGAGCCCGGCUGCCGCCCGAUAAAAGUCCUGCCCCGCCGCCCCACCGCGGCCGUGAGGGAGCGCGGAGCCGCCGGAGCAGCCAUGCUCAGCGUUGGACACACUCUAUGAGCCAUCCCAGCUUCAGCAGCCCGCAGCACCCGUCUGCCCGUCGGUGAUUCGGAGCAGGACAGUUUGUUACCGAGUUGACUAAGCGGAGGAAGCUCUUGCUGUCCUAGCAGCACCAGGCCAGACAAUCCUUCCCUUGGGUGAAGAUCCUGUUGGAUCCCUUCCCAUAAUGGAAG